rnacentral:tRNA from 1 species
GGGGGAGUGGCGGAACUGGCAUACGCAGGGGACUUAAAAUCCCCCGGCUUCGGCCUUGCGGGUUCGAAUCCCGCCUCCCCCA